GACGAACGCUGGCGGCGUGCUUAACACAUGCAAGUCGAGCGAUGAAGCACCUUCGGGUGUGGAUUAGCGGCGAACGGGUGAGGAACACGUGAGAAAUCUGCCUUCAACUCUGGGAUAACUCCGGGAAACCGGGGCUAAUACCGGAUAUGAGCCUCUUUCGCAUGAAGGGGGCUGGAAAGUUUUUCGGUUGAAGAUGAUCUCGCGGCCUAUCAGCUUGUUGGUGAGGUAAUGGCUCACCAAGGCUACGACG
rnacentral:rRNA from 1 species